AGCAGGGCCCGGGCGUUGGCGUUCUCCACCCCUUCCAGCUGUACCACUUGCUGCUGCUGCUGCUGGAGCUCCAGCUUGGUGACGCGGGUGAGGCACGACUCCACCGCUUCCUACAGGGGCAGAUGGGAGCCAGGGCGCCUGGUGUGCGCUGCAGUCCCAGAGGUGCUGGUCUCGCCUCAGAAGCAGCCACCUUGCAUUCUCCAGCCCUCCCUUUGCCUGUGGACGGUAUUCAAAUGGCCUUGAAGCCAGAGGAGCCUGUCUCAGUCCUUCAGCAAGCAUUAGAAACGGAACUACUCACCGCCCCUAGAAAGCCAUGUCACCACGGUCCUUCCCGUGAUGUUACUGUAAGAUCAACCUUGGCCAAGACCUACCUCCAUCUCAUGAAGGAAGCAGGAAGCCAAAGGCAUGGCUCAUGGGCACCUGAGACAGGCUCUGCAAUCAAGCUAUGCUUUGCUGAGUGAACAUUCUGGCAUUUCUUCAGCAUGCAAGCCCGUUCUUUCCCAAUGCGCAGAGCAGCAAAGAUACUAACUAGUCCUGACACACGCAGGCUGGGGAGGGUAUUUUUCUGAGCAAGUACGUCUCCUUAAGCUGUGAUUCACGUGCCCCACUCCGAGUGUAGAUGAGCCCUGAGGGAGACCAGCACUGCUGUACUUAGAGAUGGAGUUCCAAGUAAACACCAAGGCCAAGACUGCCAAAGUGUCUAAUGAUUAUGGGAAAUGCUCCCUCUCGGGUUUUCCAUUCACGUGUGGAAUAAAUUUUGUUAUGUGCACCA